AAUCAAAAAAGCGUCACAUCCGCAACCUUCAUGGGAAAGCGUUCUAUAUAAAUAUCUCUUAGGACCAUAUAAUUCAUUUGAAGAGGCUAAAAAUAAAGAAAAAGAUGCAGAAUUUGUAUCAUCAGAUGAUGCAAAAAUUAACGCUCUUCAAAAUAAAGAAAACAUUCUUCCUUUAAAAAGAGAAAAGAAACCAAAAUUGUAUGAUAGUUUUAAUGAUAUCGAAUCAACUGACACAGAUUCGAUUUCUG